rnacentral:lncRNA from 1 species
GCUGGUUAACUGUUUUGGACUCUUCAAAGGCCAUAUAUGAAUGUGCAGAGAACGCUUUGGACAUGCAUGAAAUGGAGAGCCCAUUACGUCUCACAAUGGACAUCAGACAAAGUGUAGCUGAUCAGGAUAUGGCCCUCAUCUCAUUCUACAAGAGACCCAAUGUUGAAUGGGCACGUCCUUUGGAGUGCAGGCUUGAGGGUAAAUUUGCUGAAAAUGAUACAUAAAUAUCUUGAAAUAAAUAUUUGUAUUCAUUACUUUAUUUUGGUGAUCUAACAGGGGAUACAGCUAUCGGACAAGGAGUAAUAAGUUUUUUCUUAUCAACAUGCAUGGAGAAGCUGAUGUCUGGUUUUUGCAUCAAUUUUGGUUAGUUUGUUUUUGGUUGACGAUACCUAUGUUUGAUGAUCAUUAUAUUGUAUAACUUUUUAUAACUUAAUUAACUGUCUGUUUAUUUUGUGAAAACCUCUGUAUUAUGUGGAAGUAAUCUUUUUUUUUCUUUCUUUUCAUUUAUCUCAUAGCAAACUCUAAUGUUACUCCACUUUUUGAGGGAGAGCCAGGCCAUUACAUACCAUCAGCAUCUCACUUUCUUGUGGAGAGUGAUAUGUUCCUUAUGGCAGGGAGGAUGGUAGGGCACUCCUUUCUUCAUGGAGGCCCAUGCCUAUCUGGACUUAGCCCAGCCGUUGUGCAUGUCCUACUUGGUAGUAGUCCUGAAACUGCCACAGUUACACCCGAGGACUGUCCAGACCUAGACCUGAGAGGGAAAAUUCAGCUUCUUGAAGGGCAAUCCAAGCUGUCGGAUGGAGAGAGAAAAUGUGUUCAGGAUCUGGCAUAUGCAUGGGACCUCCCUCCCUUGACAGAGAACAACAGGAGAUGGCUGUUUGAGAAAUUAUUACUCCAUUCUGUCUUUGGAAGAGUGACGAGGUCAAUAAAACAGCUGAGAAGGGGACUUAAAGAAACCCCCUAUGUGGACCCUGCUGACCCAGCGACCUGACACGGUGCCCUUACUCUUUCCACAAGAGUUGGCUGCUGUGAACCCUGAGGUAAAUUUUGUGCUCCUAAAAUACUGUAUUCAUUAAUAACAUUUUACUGUGUGUU